AACACCUAGCUAGGUUUAUCAUGGUGUUAUAGACUGAUGGUUAAAUGACAGGUGUAACAUCUAGCUAGGUUUAUCAUGGUGUUAUAGACUGAUGGUUAAAUGACAGGUGUAACAUCUAGCUAGGUUUAUCAUGGUGUUAUAGACUGAUGGUUAAAUGACAGGUGUAACACCUAGCUAGGUUUAUCAUGGUGUUAUAGACUGAUGGUUAAAUGACAGGUGUAACACCUAGCUAGGUUUAUCAUGGUGUUAUAGACUGAUGGUUAAAUGACAGGUGUAACACCUAGCUAGGUUUAUCAUGGUGUUAUAGACUGAUGGUUAAAUGACAGGUGUAACACCUAGCUAGGUUUAUCAUGGUGUUAUAGACUGAUGGUUAAAUGACAGGUGUAACACCUAGCUAGGUUUAUCAUGGUGUUAUAGACUGAUGGUUAAAUGACAGGUGUAACACCUAGCUAGGUUUAUCAUGGUGUUAUAGACUGAUGGUUAAAUGACAGGUGUAACACCUAGCUAGGUUUAUCAUGGUGU